rnacentral:misc_RNA from 1 species
GACGGAGGGUGCAAACGUUGUUCGGAAUCACUGGGCGUAAAGGGCGCGUAGGCGGACCUGUAAGUCAGGAGUGAAAACUCGGGGCUCAACCCCGAGCCUGCUUCUGAAACUGCUGGUCUUGAGGACUGGAGAGGGAAGUGGAAUUCCCAGUGUAGCGGUGGAAUGCGUAGAUAUUGGGAAGAACACCAGCGGCGAAGGCGACUUCCUGGACAGUACCUGACGCUGAGGCGCGAAAGCUAGGGGAGCAAACAGG